AGGAAAGCAAACAGGUUUGAGGUUUUUUUCUUUUCUUUUCUUUCUUUCAUAAAUCCUAAACCAGUUAAACUGCAUUCCUGUUGGCUUGACGUCCUUCAUGAAGAAAUAAGUGUUACACACAGCAUGUAUGCAAUUUCUGGAUAGAAAACAAUCUGUGGUUCUGCUGGCAGGUUUAGCUUCUGCAUCAUCAAGGAAGGUGAGGUGGUUUGUGCUAUCCUCAUGUUGAGUCAACUCUGCUAAGAUGUGGUUUAGACUAUGAAAAGAUGGACAUGCUUGUGCACUUGCUUCUCCUAUGUAGAGAGUGUUUUCAUCCACUACAGUGAAUAACUCCUGACAAUGGACUUGCACAUUGUUCUCAGAUGUGCUGGAUGAGGGGAGAGAAGGGGAUGGUGAAUUGGCAACCAGAUCUGCAUGGAGCAACCUUUCCAGGCCAGGAGUGGGUGGGGCCCAAGCUUUACCUGGGCACACUGCACAC
rnacentral:lncRNA from 1 species